rnacentral:rRNA from 1 species
AUUGAACGCUGGCGGCAGGCCUAACACAUGCAAGUCGAGCGGAUGAAGGGAGCUUGCUCCUGGAUUCAGCGGCGGACGGGUGAGUAAUGCCUAGGAAUCUGCCUGGUAGUGGGGGAUAACGUCCGGAAACGGGCGCUAAUACCGCAUACGUCCUGAGGGAGAAAGUGGGGGAUCUUCGGACCUCACGCUAUCAGAUGAGCCUAGGUCGGAUUAGCUAGUUGGUGGGGUAAGGGCCUACCAAGGCGACGAUCCGUAACUGGUCUGAGAGGAUGAUCAGUCACACUGGAACUGAGACACGGUCCAGACUCCUACGGGAGGCAGCAGUGGGGAAUAUUGGACAAUGGGCGAAAGCCUAAUCCAGCCAUGCCGCGUGUGUGAAGAAGGUCUUCGGAUUGUAAAGCACUUUAAGUUGGGAGGAAGGGCAGUAAGUUAAUACCUUGCUGUUUUGACGUUACCAACAGAAUAAGCACCGGCUAACUUCGUG